rnacentral:misc_RNA from 1 species
GAAAUGCGAUAAGUAAUGUGAAUUGCAGAAUUCAGUGAAUCAUCGAAUCUUUGUACGCACCUUGCGCUCCUUGGUAUUCCUUGGAGCAUGCCUGUUUGAGUAUCAUGAAAUCUUCAAAGUAAAUCUUUUGUUAACUCAAUUGGUUUCUACUUUGGUAUUGGAGGUCUUUGCAGCUUCACACCUGCUCCUCUUUGUUCAUUAGCUGGAUCUCAGUGUUAUGCUUGGUUCCACUCGGCGUGAUAAGUUAUCUAUCGCUGAGGACACUGUAAAAGGUGGCCAAGGUAAAUGCAGAUGAACCGCUUCUAAUAGUCCAUUGACUUGGACAAUACUUUUAUGGUCUGAUCUCAAAUCAGGUAGGACUACCCGCUGAACUUAAGC